rnacentral:rRNA from 1 species
UACGUAGGGCGCAAGCGUUAAUCGGAAUUACUGGGCGUAAAGCGUGCGCAGGCGGUUCGCUAAGACAGAUGUGAAAUCCCCGGGCUUAACCUGGGAACUGCAUUUGUGACUGGCGGGCUAGAGUAUGGCAGAGGGGGGUAGAAUUCCACGUGUAGCAGUGAAAUGCGUAGAGAUGUGGAGGAAUACCGAUGGCGAAGGCAGCCCCCUGGGCCAAUACUGACGCUCAUGCACGAAGGUCAGGGGAGCAAACGGG